UACGUAGGGUCCGAGCGUUGUCCGGAAUUAUUGGGCGUAAAGAGCUCGUAGGCGGUUUGUCGCGUCUGCUGUGAAAACCUAAGGCUCAACCUUGGGCUUGCGGUCGAUACGGGCAGGCUCGAGUUCGGUAGGGGAGACUGGAAUUCCUGGUGUAGCGGUGAAAUGCGCAGAUAUCAGGAGGAACACCGGGUGGCGAAGGCGGGUCUCUGGGCCGAGUACUGACGCUGAGGAGCGAAAGCGUGGGGAGCGAACAGG
rnacentral:rRNA from 1 species